UAUGUAGGGGGCAAGCGUUGUCCGGAUUUAUUGGGCGUAAAGAGCGUGUAGGCGGUUAUACAGGUCCGCUGUGAAAACUGGAGGCUUAACCUCCAGACGUCGGUGGAAACCGUAUGACUAGAGUCCGGAAGAGGAGAGUGGAAUUCCUGGUGUAGCGGUGAAAUGCGCAGAUAUCAGGAAGAACACCCGUGGCGAAGGCGGCUCUCUGGGACGGUACUGACGCUGAGACGCGAAAGCGUGGGGAGCGAACAGG
rnacentral:rRNA from 1 species